CAAUAAUUCUCUCUGAGCUGGGCUUACGUCUGAAGGCUACAGACUGACAUGGACCCUUAAGUCUUCCUGUGCAUAUAAGGAUAUAACGGGAUCAAGGUCAGCUGCUGCAACUGAGACCUCACUUUCACUGGGGAGGAGGACUUACCCUAAAGUAAAAUAUUGCGAGUCUGACUAUAUUUGAUUGAUUCCUGAAAACUGAAAUUGAGGCCCCAUUCUUUUUAAGGGAUACCUAUAUAUAAACAUGCACUACAAAUGACCUGUGGAAUUGUUGUACCCAGAUCAAGAAUGCUCAUUGCCAAUGGUUUUAGGAGUAUCUGGACAUGGUCAUUGAAACUCCUGGAGAAAGUAAGAAGUUGAGAAGAGAGAAUUUCCUUAAUAAAACUCAGAGUAUCAACUUAGACAUACAUUUCAUUUAAGCAAAAUAUGGGGCCAGGUGCAGUGGGUCACACCUGUAAUCCUACCACUUUGGGAGGCGGAGACUGGAGGAUCACUUGAGCCCACUAGUUGGAGACCAGCCUGGGCAACAUAGCAAGACCCUGUCACUGCCAUGUUACAAAAAAUAAAAAUAAAAUUAGCCGGAUGUGGUGGCACACGCCUGUAGUCCCAGCUAUUUGAGAGGCUGAGGUGGGAGGAUUGCUUUAGGCCAGGACUUCGAGGCUGCUGUGAACUAUGAUCAUGCCACUGCACUCCAGCCUGGGUGACAGACAGAGUGAGACCCUGUCUCAAAACAAAACAAAACGACAAGUAAACAAGAAAACUAUGGGAAGCCAUGAAACAGAUAUGGGCUGUUGCAGAUUGGAUCCAGGAUUCCUGGGAGGUGACUGAGCCACUGAAACAACAACAUGCAAUGCCAGGUUGAAGGGGUAAACUAAGGAAUGAAGACCAGUCUGUGGAGACCAAAGUCUCCAGGGCAGGAAGUGGGGCCCAUGAGAUCUGGUGAUUAGAUCUGCCACUUCCUAGCCAUGACACCGCACGCAUGUUUUCUAACUAAUCUAGGCUUUGUUCUUAUUUGUAAAAUGAGAAUAAUAAUCACUUUGCUUAUCUCACUAUUAGUUGUAAAGAUCCAGUGAGAUCAUGGAUGUGAGAGUGCGAUGCAAAUCGUUUUGGGCUCACAAAACUAAGGUAUUAUUUUUGUUCAACUGAAAAUAUCUUCCUCAGAAAGUGUAGAAACGUACACUACAAAUCCAAAAUCCCUCAAUGCCCAAGUGUUUACUAGCAUGAGUGCAGUUCCAGGGCUGCCCUCAAAUUAAAGGUUUCUUGUGAUCUUAUGUGAUUUAGGAACAUUUUGAGCAGUUAAUGCACAAUGUUUCUGAAAUCUAAAGUAAGCAGAGGCUUAUUGUCUAUUAAUGACAGUCUCUGGGGGCUAGGACAGAUGCCCCCACUCCAGUUCCAGAUGAUGAAGGACUCCAGAGCCAGAAUACCCUAGCAAGGCUGUUUGCAUCCCAAAGAGGAAGAAUGUGUUAGGAAUAUGCUUUUGGCAUCUAAUCAUUCUUCAUAAAUCAAGAUGUGAAGUCAGUGAAGUAAGAGAUGAACAAUUUCUGGAAAUGGAAUCUCCACAGCUACUUCUGGACAACCUCAGCCCAUUCAUCUACAAACCUCCGUGCCCGGCACGUUGUCCAGGCUGGACCCCCAGCCGGAUGGUGUAUUAGGAGUUCCUUUACAUGCCUGCUGGGGGCGACAUCCUUUCUCACAUUUGUAACAGUGAAACAGCAAAAGAAUGAACAUGACUAACUCCAUUUUUGUUUGAGUGGUCCUUAUCUAUGUUUAGAUACCCAUUCCUGCAUGUGGGCUAGAAUAAUUUUAGAGCACUGGGAUGAAACACUACAAUGGGAGUCAUACAGUUUUUGAAAUGAACUCUGGGAUUAAAAAGGAGUAUUUGAGCAACCGACCAUAUUUUGUUAAAGAUUUAUAGGAGGAAGGAGCAUUGUGACCUGACCAGGGACAAAGAAAUUCCCAACUUCCUUGGACCCUUGCUGGCACCCAGCUGUCUAUAGUCAUAGGUUAUGUGUUGAUCCCAACACCCUCCUCUUCCCCCUGCCCUUAACAUAAAAAGAGCCUGAAAUUUGUACCGACUUGUGAUGGUCUUUGUGACACUAGUCCACCAUCUCCCCAGGUUGCC
rnacentral:lncRNA from 1 species